rnacentral:lncRNA from 1 species
CAGGACCUGCUGAACCUGGGGCCCUAUAGGAGAGCACUGAUGGCCCACCCCUGAACAUGGCCCUGGUCUUCAUGUCUGCAUCAGCCUCAGCCAUCUCAAGACCACAACGGGAACACAGCCAAGUCAGAGAAGGAAGACCAAAAGCACCGGGGCCCUUUAUAUUAUUAAGCUGCUAAAUUAACUAAUCUUGGAAACUUCUAGACUCUACAAUUCUUGUUGUAUGAGGUUUAACAAGUUCAAGUGAGAAGAUAUUGGCCAAAUACAACACAGAGGCUAAACACAACACCUAUGUUGAUUGUUUGGUGCAUAAGAAUUGAGAUGAUGGAAAGAGGUCCCUGUGAACUUCAGGAAUAGCUUGAAGCUAACUGAUAAAACAGAGUGGGUUGACAAUUAUUCUCUGGACUUUUUGGUAACCAAGAACUUCUAGCAACUAACCCUGGCAUGACCACCAGAAUCUGCAGGGCUGAGAGAGGAAAGAAAGGCAAAAGUGGAUGAAUGCAGCUGAAGAUGGUAUGGAACUCCUAUCACAUUCCAAGUGCUGUGUUGAUAUCUGGAGAUAUAGACAAGAUUGAAGCAGAUGCAGAGUCUUUCACAUGAAUAUUUGAAUCAGGUAUUAAUGGAAUGGCUUCAAUAAUACAGUAAAAUUAAGAUAUUCAAAGAAGCAGGAUGCAGGUGAAGGGUAUUGGCCUCAGCUUUAGAGACCAGAGGUUAAAUCUCGAUGCUGCCACAAAACAAUCCACGUAAGUCAGUAAACAAUGCUUUUUAAAUUAUU